UGUUUAUUACCUGUGAAUUACUUCUACUAAACACCUGCCCAAAAUUCUACAGGCACUAUGCCAAGCUGGGCGUGUAUACAGGAUGGAGAGUUACUUUGGCAUGGUAUUCCCAGAGAUGGACACACAAGCAAAGUCUUUUUAACAAUGGAAAGAUCCACAGGUGCUUUUUGUUUUUUGUUUUGUUUUUACCUAAUGCUAAACUUUUAUCAAAGAAUUUUUCUUUCCAGCUUGAUAUUUCAAAUAAAUGUUAACCAUACAGUGUCUUCCCUCUCCCUUCAGGAUAUACAAACCACAGAAAUUCAAUGACUCAUCCCAAAAUGGUUUAUGAAUAUGCCAGGGGCGGAAGGGCAUGGUGUUUACUUCUUUAAGACUUCCUGCGAAACUGGAAAAAAAAAAGAGAGAAUACAGCAUUUGAAGAUAUUUGUAACUAACUAAAGAGCACGGGCCUGCCAUUGCAUGAAUGUGGAGAGUAGAGGCCAACUUGAAGUCAUCUGUAUGAUGAGACCUUGUGAGUCAAAGAGACAAAAUUCUCAUCAUAGUCCUAAGACAAUGGGAGGACAGACCUCUCCCCAUCCCCCGUCAAGAGAAUCCCUGCCAGAAAGAGAAUACCACAACUACCAACUACCAACCCACUUCCCCUACUCUUCGCAUCCCAGCAGUAAGAAAAGCCAGACGUUUAUCUGGACAUAAAACUGGCCUUGCCUGAGAAAGUAUGAAAAUCGGAGACAAGAGAGGAAAUGCUGCAGACAAUAGCAGAAGCUGCACAGUUCAUAAACUCUCAACUUCAAGCCACACCCAUUGGUGGAAUCUGGUGCCAGUAAGCAGACAGUGCUCUUAGCACCUCGACUCACCGGGGACAGAAAGAGAAAAGUUGUCU
rnacentral:lncRNA from 1 species